rnacentral:rRNA from 1 species
AGAGCUUUUCGGGGAAUAUUGGGCGUAAAGCGCGCGCAGGCGGCUAGUUAACGUCUGGUGUUUAACCUUGGGCUCACCUGGGGUCGCACUGGAGACUGGAUGGCUUGAAUACAGAUAAGGAAGUGGAAUUCCACGUGUAUCGGUGAAAUGCGUACAUAUGUGGAGGAAACCCGUGGCGAAAGGCACUUUCUGGGCUGUAACUGACGCUGAAGCGCGAAAGCGUGGGGAGGCGCCGGAUUAAAUACCCUGGUAAUCCACGCCGUAAACGAUGAGUGCUAAGUGUUAGGGGUUUUUAUACCCUUGGUGCCGAAGUUAACACAGUAUACACUCCCCCUGGGGAGUACAGUGCCAAGACUGAAACUCUAAGGAAUUGAGGGGGACCCCCACAAGCACUGGAGUAUGUGGUUUAAUUCUAAACAACGCGAAAAACCUUUUCCCGUCGUGACAUCCCUCUGAAUCCUCUAUAGAUAUACGCGUCCUUCUUUACAGAGGAUACAGGUGUUGCAUGGUUGUCUUCUCCUCUCGUCGUGAGAUAUUGUGUUAAAUCUCGCAACGAGAGCAACACUUGACUUUAAUUGCGAGCACGUAAUGCUGUGCACUCUCAAGUGACUGCGGCUGACUCACCUGAGAAAAGUGGGAAUGACAUCUCAUCAUCAUGCGCCCCAUGAGCUGUGCUACACACGCACGACAAUGGGCGGGUAUACCAUGAAUCGAAACCGCGAGGUGUAGACCAUCUCCCCAAAGCCCGUCUUCGUUUGGAAUGCGGGUCGGCACUCCCCCUGCCAGAAGUCCGAAUUGCGCUGUAAUCCCGGAAUAACAUGCCGAUGCUGAAUACACUCCCCCGGGCUUGUACACCCCGCCCCGGUCCUCAAAC